GGACGGUUAGCUCAGCGGCAGAGCGCUGCACUCACAUUGCAGAGGUCGUAGGUUCAAAUCCUACACCGUCCACUA
rnacentral:tRNA from 1 species